UAGAGAACUGCCCUCGGGCAAUCUCCCACCCUCUGCUUACAAUACUUUGUUGCUUUGGCAGGCCCGCCCUAGGGCCACCGGCUCUGGCUGGUCAGCGCCUGCCAGAGGCCCAAAACUCGUGAAUCAGCGUCGUCCGAGUAUCAUUUUAAUAGUUA
rnacentral:misc_RNA from 1 species